ensembl:snoRNA
AUCUUUUUAUAGGACUUGAGCAACACUGAGUUUUCAUGUGGUUGUGGGAGAAGUGACUCCUACAAACCUUGUUAUGACAUUGGCAGAUUACCCAUCUGAUG